AUUGAACGCUGGCGGCAUGCCUUACACAUGCAAGUCGAACGGCAGCACGGGAGCAAUCCUGGUGGCGAGUGGCGAACGGGUGAGUAAUAUAUCGGAACGUGCCCAGUAGUGGGGGAUAACUGCUCGAAAGAGCAGCUAAUACCGCAUACGACCUGAGGGUGAAAGGGGGGGAUCGCAAGACCUUCCGCUAUUGGAGCGGCCGAUAUCCGAUUAGCUAGUUGGUGGGGUAAAGGCCGACCAAGGCAACGAUCUGUAGUUGGUCUGAGAGGACGACCAGCCACACUGGGACUGAGACACGGCCCAGACUCCUACGGGAGGCAGCAGUGGGGAAUUUUGGACAAUGGGCGCAAGCCUGAUCCAGCAAUGCCGCGUGCAGGAAGAAGGCCUUCGGGUUGUAAACUGCUUUUGUCAGGGAAGAAAUCCUCUAGGUUAAUACCCUUGGGGGGAUGACGGUACCUGAAGAAUAAGCACCGGCUAACUACGUGCCAGCCGCCGCGGUAACAC
rnacentral:rRNA from 1 species